AUUGAACGCUGGCGGCAUGCCUUACACAUGCAAGUCGAACGGUAGAGGGGGCAACCCCUCGAGAGUGGCGAACGGGUGAGUAAUGCAUCGGAACGUGCCCAGUAGUGGGGGAUAGCCCGGCGAAAGCCGGAUUAAUACCGCAUGAGACCUACGGGUGAAAGGGGGGAUCGCAAGACCUCCCGCUAUUGGAGCGGCCGAUGUCAGAUUAGGUAGUUGGUGGGGUAAAGGCCUACCAAGCCGACGAUCUGUAGCUGGUCUGAGAGGACGACCAGCCACACUGGGACUGAAACACGGCCCAGACUCCUACGGGAGGCAGCAGUGGGGAAUUUUGGACAAUGGGCGAAAGCCUGAUCCAGCCAUGCCGCGUGCGGGAAGAAGGCCUUCGGGUUGUAAACCGCUUUUGUCAGGGAAGAAAUCCUUUGAGCUAAUACCUCGGGGGGAUGACGGUACCUGAAGAAUAAGCACCGGCUAACUACGUGCCAGCCGCCGCAGUAA
rnacentral:rRNA from 1 species